GAGUGCUUGCACUCGCUGACGACCGGCGCACGGGUGCGUAACGCGUAUAGAACUUACCUUUUACAUAGGGAUAGCCUUUAGAAAUGAAGAUUAAUACCUUAUAGUAUUAAGACUUGGCAUCAAGACUUAAUUAAAGAUUUAUCGGUAAAAGAUGGCUAUGCGUCCUAUUAGUUAGUUGGUAAGGUAACGGCUUACCAAGACAGCGAUAGGUAGGGGUCCUGAGAGGGAGAUCCCCCACACUGGUACUGAGACACGGACCAGACUCCUACGGGAGGCAGCAGUGAGGAAUAUUGGGCAAUGGAGGCAACUCUGACCCAGCCAUGCCGCGUGCAGGAAGACGGCCCUAUGGGUUGUAAACUGCUUUUAUACAGGAAGAAACCCUGCUACGUGUAGCAGCUUGACGGUACUGUAAGAAUAAGGACCGGCUAACUCCGUGCCAGCAGCCGCGGUAAUACGGAGGGUCCGAGCGUUAUCCGGAAUCAUUGGGUUUAAAGGGUCCGCAGGCGGUCAAUUAAGUCA
rnacentral:rRNA from 1 species